CUGUUUUAGCAACACGUAUACUAAAAUUAUAAGGAUGCAAAGAAGAUUAGUAUCAUUCCUGAAAAAAGGAUCAGAUUCAAAUUAAUAAAAUAUCUCAUAUUUUU